UACACGGAUCCAGCUGAAAGCCACAGAAAGACCAAAGCACCGAAAUGCGCUGGAAGGCGCCACGCGAUCCCUCUCUGAGGAGGAACCGGCUGGAUUAGCGCCGAGGUAAAAUGGCAAAGUUCAUCUCAUGUCAAGGAAAUGAAGUCUCUUUUCUAUGCUGGAGGCUUGGUGCUUCAGGAAGAACACGGGUUGCCUUUCUUUGCCAGAGUGAUGAUUAGUGACUGUGUCCACAUGGAGGGCCACUCACCAGUCUGCCAGAUCUUGUUGCAGAUCUUGAAAAAGAACAUUUUCCCCAGAAGAAAGCCUUCAGUAAGUAGGAGCAACUGCAACAUUUCCAGGAAAUGACAAGAAAUAUCUUCAAAAGAAAGAAAGGUUACUUUCUAGUAACUGUAGUUCUUCAAGA